ensembl:snoRNA small nucleolar RNA U109
UGGCAUGUGGAAAUGCCUUCUCCUCAUUUCUUGUGAAGCAGGAAUAUAUCCAUGACAUGCUACAUUAAAAAGAGUUUUCAGGGCUGCCAACCUUACAGUAGAGGUUGAGUGGUAGUAUAUUUCUCCUACAUUA